rnacentral:rRNA from 1 species
UACGGAGGGGGCUAGCGUUAUUCGGAAUCAUUGGGCGUAAAGCGCGCGCAGGCGGAUUUGUAAGUCAGGUGUGAAAUCUCGAAGCUCAACUUCGAAACUGCGCCUGAAACUACAAGUCUAGAAUGUCGGAGGGGGCAGGGGAAUUUCACGUGUAGGGGUAAAAUCCGUAGAGAUGUGAAGGAACACCGGAGGCGAAGGCGCUGCCUGGACGACUAUUGACGCUGAGGCGGCGAAAGCGUGG